rnacentral:rRNA from 1 species
CUACGGGUUGCUCCAGUGGGGAAUAUUGCGCAAUGGGCGAAAGCCUGACGCAGCAACGCCGCGUGGGUGAUGAAGGCCUUCGGGUCGUAAAGCCCUGUCGGGAGGGAAGAACACCUUCGGGUCUGACGGUACCUCCCAAGGAAGCACAGGCUAACUCCGUGCCAGCAGCCGCGGUAAUACGGAGUGUGCAAGCGUUGUUCGGAAUUACUGGGCGUAAAGCGCGCGUAGGCGGCUUGGUAAGUCAGAUGUGAAAUCCCUCGGCUCAACCGAGGAACUGCAUUUGAAACUGCCAGGCUUGAGUACGGGAGGGGGAAGCGGAAUUCCCAGUGUAGAGGUGAAAUUCGUAGAUAUUGGGAGGAACACCAGCGGCGAAGGCGGCUUCCUGGACCGAUACUGACGCUGAGGCGCGAAAGCGUGGGGAGCAAACAGGAUUAGAUACCCGGGUAGUC